AUUGAACGCUGGCGGCAGGCUUAACACAUGCAAGUCGAGCGGAGAUGAGGUGCUUGCACCUUAUCUUAGCGGCGGACGGGUGAGUAAUGCUUAGGAAUCUGCCUAUUAGUGGGGGACAACAUUCCGAAAGGGAUGCUAAUACCGCAUACGUCCUACGGGAGAAAGCAGGGGAUCUUCGGACCUUGCGCUAAUAGAUGAGCCUAAGUCGGAUUAGCUAGUUGGUGGGGUAAAGGCCUACCAAGGCGACGAUCUGUAGCGGGUCUGAGAGGAUGAUCCGCCACACUGGGACUGAGACACGGCCCAGACUCCUACGGGAGGCAGCAGUGGGGAAUAUUGGACAAUGGGGGGAACCCUGAUCUAGCCAUGCCGCGUGUGUGAAGAAGGCCUUAUGGUUGUAAAGCACUUUAAGCGAGGAGGAGGCUACUGAGACUAAUACUCUUGGAUAGUGGACGUUACUCGCAGAAUAAGCACCGGCUAACUCUGUGCCAGCAGCCGCCGUAACAC
rnacentral:rRNA from 1 species